UACGAUCAGUUGGUGAAUUUUAUUUUGCUACCUGGAUAUUACAGUGUGUCACAAUGUGUAUUAAAUUUAUAGAGCCGAGUGUAUGAAAUCCACCUACCAGUGGUGAACAGGUUUGUAAACAGUUGAAUAGACACCAUAUAUAUCUGGUAAAGCCGGAUUCAUACACCAUACUUCACAUGUGCCCUAUUGAAUUCAAUUAGCCUUUCUGCACAAAGGCAAAAAUCCGCCAUUUUGGGGGUAUGUCUCAGUUACCCUGCUAGCAGAGUAUCCUUUUCACGGCGGAGGAAAAGGAUACUUCUGCUAACAGGGUAUGUCUCAGUGCCCUCGUGAAAGAUUCUAGACAAUUCAAACAACGUGAAAAGCGACUUUUCGUGAAAAGCGAAGGUUGCAACUGUAAAUUUACCAUUAUAAAAACAACUACAAUAUUACUGAAAAAGUUGUAUUUCGCUGUGCGGAGACUCUCAAACCUGGAAGCGGCAGCAACCCAAAAAUGGCCGUGAGAAAGGCCAAGUACGCAAAUUUGAUUCGUGGGGCACAUUUUCUUCUAACGAAUUUAAAUUAAAAACCGUAGUGUGUUUUUGAAAAACUAACCAUUUUAAUGACGUCAUUUAAUAGUUUCAUGUAUUAAUAAUUAGUAAUUCAGCAAAUAUAAAGUUUGCCAUCUUAAUCAGUCGCCGCACCAAAGUCGCAUGUGGCAAGAUAUGUCGAAUUCAAUUCCUCGGAACUAAAUUAAGUUUUUAAAUUAAUGAUUCAAAUGCCAACUUUUGCCAUACCUAAUUACUGAAUUGAAUUCUACACACGUGAAGUAUGGCAUAUAAAAAACACUUCUAAUUACUAUAAUUGAAUAUCCUAGGUUGUAAUCAAACACAAUCAUUAUAGGAAGGUUGUACAAUCUUGUCAAAAUGGCUUAAGAUAAAGUGGAGAUCAAUGCUUUCUUUUUCAGCUAUCCACCUAGGCUCGAUCCAGCCGGUGGGUCUCUCCCACCGGCUGGAUCGAGCCUACUAUCCACCUGAAAUACCAUAAACCUCCGAAUAUAAGCCCUGACCUUAUACUCGUUUGUAAAAUGGGGGGGGGGCUUAUAUGUCAACAACAUUUGAAUAUGGUUGGCUUAUACAUGGUGGGGCUUAUAUUCGGGGAAGGGGGCUUAUAUUCAGUGGUUUACAGUAUUUAUAUCACUCUUUAUACAAACAGCCCAGACUAGAACUAAAAUCUUAACUUUAAUAUAUGUUAUUAAAAUAAUUUAUAUACAAUUGUAUGAAACACGAGAUAUUUUAAAUAUUAUCUGCUUUUUGAUCAAGUUUACUUUUCCUUGUUUUUGCCAUGUGAAUGAAGAGUGAGAUAGUUUCUUUUUCUGGCGCAGGAAUUGUCUUGAAAUGUCGGCUGAUUGUCUACGAGGGAA